rnacentral:rRNA from 1 species
UUAACUAACAUGCAAGUCGAACGAUGAAGCCUAGCUUGUCUAGUGGAGUAGUGGCGAACGGGUGAGUAAUACGUGAGUAACCUACCUUUAACUACUGGGAGUAAGCCUGGGAAACUAGGGUCUAAUACCGGAUACGACCAAUCUCCGCAUGGGUGUUGGUGGAAAGCGUUAUGUAGUGGUUAUAGAUGGGCGUCACGGCCUAUCAGCUUGUUGGUGAGGUAACGGCUCACCAAGGCGACGACGGGUAGGCCGGCCUGAGAGGGUGACCGGCCACACUGGGACUGAGACACGGCCCAGACUCCUACGGGAGGCAGCAGUGGGGAAUAUUGCACAAUGGGCGCAAGCCUGAUGCAGCGACGCCGCGUGAGGGAUGACGGCCUUUGGGUUGUAAACCUCUGUUAGCAGGGAAGAAGAGAGAUUGACGGUACCUGCAGAGAAAGCGCCGGCUAACUACGUG